UUAGGAAUCUUGCGCAAUGGGGGAAACCCUGACGCAGCGACGCCGCGUGGAGGAUGACAGCCCUCGGGUUGUAAACUCCUUUUAAGAGGGAAGAAGAUCUGACGGUACCUCUUGAAUAAGCCCCGGCUAACUACGUGCCAGCAGCCGCGGUAAUACGUAGGGGGCGAGCGUUGUCCGGAUUUACUGGGCGUAAAGCGCGCGUAGGCGGAUUCUCAAGUCGGGGGUGAAAUUCCGAGGCUCAACCUCGGAACUGCCCUCGAAACUGGGGAUCUGGAGGCAUGGAGAGGGAAGUGGAAUUCCUGGUGUAGCGGUGAAAUGCGUAGAUAUCAGGAGGAACACCCGUGGCGAAGGCGGCUUCCUGGCCAUGUCCUGACGCUGAGGUGCGAAAGCCAGGGGAGCGAACGGG
rnacentral:rRNA from 1 species